UCCAGACUCCUACGGGAGGCAGCAGUGAGGGAUAUUGGUCAAUGGCCGGAAGGCUGAACCAGCCAAGCCGCGUGAAGGACGAAGGUGCCAAGCAUUGUAAACUUCUUUUGUCAAGGGACAAAAUCAGGCUCGAGAGCCUGACCGAGGGUACUUGAAGAAAAAGCAUCGGCUAACUCCGUGCCAGCAGCCGCGGUAAUACGGAGGAUCCGAGCGUUAUCCGGAUUUAUUGGGUUUAAAGGAUGCGUAGGCGGCCUUUUAAGUCAGCGGUGAAAGUCUGUGGCUCAACCAUAGAAUUGCCGUUGAAACUGGGGGGCUUGAGUAUGUUUGAGGCAGGCGGAAUGCGUGGUGUAGCGGUGAAAUGCAUAGAUAUCACGCAGAACUCCGAUUGCGAAGGCAGCAUACCGGCGCUCAACUGACGCUCAUGCACGAAAGUGUGGGUAUCGAACAGGAUUAGAUACCCUGGUAACG
rnacentral:rRNA from 1 species